rnacentral:tRNA from 1 species
GGUCGCGUGGCCCAAUGGCAAGGCGCUUGACUACGAUUAUAUCUAUUCGAAAUCAAGAGAUUCUGGGUUCGAUCCCCAGCGUGACCU